GAUGAACGCUGGCGGCGUGCCUAAUACAUGCAAGUCGAGCGAACAGAUGAGGAGCUUGCUCCUCUGACGUUAGCGGCGGACGGCUGAGUAACACGUGGAUAACCUACCUAUAAGACUGGGAUAACUUCGGGAAACCGGAGCUAAUACCGGAUAAUAUAUUGAACCGCAUGGUUCAAUAGUGAAAGACGGUUUUGCUGUCACUUAUAGAUGGAUCCGCGCCGCAUUAGCUAGUUGGUAAGGUAACGGCUUACCAAGGCGACGAUGCGUAGCCGACCUGAGAGGGUGAUCGGCCACACUGGAACUGAGACACGGUCCAGACUCCUACGGGAGGCAGCAGUAGGGAAUCUUCCGCAAUGGGCGAAAGCCUGACGGAGCAACGCCGCGUGAGUGAUGAAGGUCUUCGGAUCGUAAAACUCUGUUAUUAGGGAAGAACAAAUGUGUAAGUAACUAUGCACGUCUUGACGGUACCUAAUCAGAAAGCCACGGCUAACUACGUG
rnacentral:rRNA from 1 species